rnacentral:lncRNA from 1 species
CAUGGGUCAAAGAGCCCCUGGCAUGAAGCACCAAGGGUGUGAUUCUUGCCUCUAUUAGUUAAGUCUUUUGCUUUAAGGUAAUAGUGUUAGGUGUGUUCCUCCCAUUUUCCCUUAGGGAACCAUAAAUAUCACUUUCAAUUCUUCUUAGCUUACCCUUAAUUGAAGAAGAAAGAAAACUAACUUUACUGGAAAGAGGGCUGAAUGAAUGUAUUCUAUAAAUAUCUUCAGAAGACUCUACUCAGGGGGUAUCCAAAGAUUUAUGAGGCAGUCUCAGGAAUAAGAUCCGUUGAGGGAUGCUUUGGAUUGGCCUCAUCAACACAGACUCACUUCUUGAGAAAAUUGAUAUUGUCCUUCCCCAUGGGCAGAGGCCAAGUGGAAAUACAGUGCAUAAGAUGCUCAAAGGGGAGUUAAAACAUAGAUUAUAUCUAAAUGACGACACAGAUCUGGAUGGGAACUGAAGAAAUUAUCCCAACAUUGGUCAUUUUGGUGGAAUUUUGUCUACAAAACCAAAUAAAGCAAAGAGCAUAGCAAUUUAUCUAUAGUUU